CUGGAUGUCAGCCGGGGGAUGGAUUGGUUUUCUACUUGUGGAGCUGGUGAUACUUGCGUCUGCAGCGCAAGGUGGUCGGGAUCGAAAUGCAGGAUGGGUCUGAGGUAGACUUCAGAGGGGACCAAGUAGGAUGCCUAGAAGUUUGAUGUCAGCUGUCAGGCUCGUAGAGUGUAUAGGAGUGGUUGGUAGAGAGUUCUAGCUCGGGUUUGUGAGCUGAGUAGGCAGGUCUAGGAACCAGCCCUAGUGCCAUAGAUAGAGCGAGUGUU
rnacentral:lncRNA from 1 species